rnacentral:SRP_RNA from 1 species
GCUGGGCUCGGUGGCGAGCGCCUGCAGUCCCAGCUACUCGGGAGGCUGAGGUGGGAGGAUCGCUUGAGUCCAGGAGUUCUGGGCUGCAGUACGCUAUGCGGAUCGGAUGUCCACACUAAGUUCGGCAUCAAUAUGGUGACCUCCUGGGAGCGGGGGACCACCAGGUUGCCUAAGGAAGGGUGAACGGGCCCAGGUUGGAAAAGGAGCAGGUCGAAACUCCCAUGCUGAUCAAUAUUUUGUGAGCAACUAUUACGGGACCAUUUGCAAAGUACUAACAAGUAUUUGCUAUUUAACAUUU